UGGCAAAGAGGCCACACCCGUUCCCAUCCCGAACACGGCAGUUAAGCUCUUUUGCGCCGAUGGUAGUUGGGGGUCUCCCCCUGUGAGAGUAGGACAUCGCUGGGC
rnacentral:rRNA from 1 species